AACGAACGCUGGCGGCAUGCCUAACACAUGCAAGUCGAACGAGACCUUCGGGUCUAGUGGCGCACGGGUGCGUAACGCGUGGGAACCUGCCCUUAGGUUCGGAAUAACUCCCCGAAAGGGGUGCUAAUACCGGAUAAUGUCUUCGGACCAAAGAUUUAUCGCCUUUGGAUGGGCCCGCGUUGGAUUAGCUAGUUGGUAGGGUAAAAGCCUACCAAGGCGACGAUCCAUAGCUGGUCUGAGAGGAUGAUCAGCCACACUGGGACUGAGACACGGCCCAGACUCCUACGGGAAGCAGCAGUGGGGAAUAUUGGACGAUGGGCGAAAGCCUGAUCCAGCAAUGCCGCGUGAGUGAUGAAGGCCUUAGGGUUGUAAAGCUCUUUUACCCGGGAUGAUAAUGACAGUACCGGGAGAAUAAGCACCGGCUAACUCCGUG
rnacentral:rRNA from 1 species